AUUGAACGCUGGCGGCAGGCCUAACACAUGCAAGUCGAGCGGCUGAACGGUACUUGCUCCUUGAUUCAGCUGCGGACUGGCGAACAGUUCCUAGGAACAUCCCUAUUUGCUGGUUCUAAGGGGCGGAAGCGGGCGCUCAUACCCCAUUAGUCCUUACGGCGAACGUGUGGAAUCAUCGGACCUCCCGACAUCACAUGAUCCUAUGUCGGAUUAGCUAGUUGGCGGGGUAAAGGCCUACCAAGGCGACGAUCCGUAGCUGGUCUGAGAGGAUGAUCAGACACACUGGAACUGAGACACGGUCCAGACUCCUACGGGAGGCAGCAGUGGGGAAUAUUGGACAAUGGGCGAAAGCCUGAUCCAGCCAUGCCGCGUGUGUGAAGAAGGUCUUCGGGUUGUAAAGCCCUUUUAUUUGGGAGGAAAAGCAGUAAGUUAAUACCUCGCUGUUCUGACGUUACCAACAGAAUAAGCACCGGCUAACUUCGUG
rnacentral:rRNA from 1 species